UACGUAGGCAGCGAGCGUUGUUCGGAGUUACUGGGCGUAAAGAGUGCGUAGGCGGUUUUCUAAGUUUGGUGUGAAAUCUCCCGGCUUAACUGGGAGGGUGCGCCGAAAACUGGAAGGCUUGAGUAUGGGAGAGGUAAGCGGAAUUCCUGGUGUAGCGGUGAAAUGCGUAGAUAUCGGGAGGAACACCAAUGGCGAAGGCAGCUCGCUGGGACGGUACUGACGCUGAGACGCGAAAGCGUGGGGAGCAAACAGG
rnacentral:rRNA from 1 species